AUUGAACGCUGGCGGCAGGCCUAACACAUGCAAGUCGAACGGUAGCACAGAGAGCUUGCUCUCGGGUGACGAGUGGCGGACGGGUUAGUAAUGUCUGGGAAACUGCCCGAUGGAGGGGGAUAACUACUGGAAACGGUAGCUAAUACCGCAUAACGUCGCAAGACCAAAGUGGGGGACCUUCGGGCCUCACACCAUCGGAUGUGCCCAGAUGGGAUUAGCUAGUAGGUGGGGUAAUGGCUCACCUAGGCGACGAUCCCUAGCUGGUCUGAGAGGAUGACCAGCCACACUGGAACUGAGACACGGUCCAGACUCCUACGGGAGUCAGCAGUGGGGAAUAUUGCACAAUGGGCGCAAGCCUGAUGCAGCCAUGCCGCGUGUAUGAAGAAGGCCUUCGGGUUGUAAAGUACUUUCAGCGGGGAGGAAGGCGGUGAAGUUAAUAGCUUCACCGAUUGACGUUACCCGCAGAAGAAGCACCGGCUAACUCCGUGCCAGCCGCCGCCGUAA
rnacentral:rRNA from 1 species